CGCACAAGCAGUGGAGUAUGUGGUUUAAUUCGAAGCAACGCGAAGAACCUUACCAGGUCUUGACAUCCCUCUGACCGGUACAGAGAUGUACCUUUCCUUCGGGACAGAGGAGACAGGUGGUGCAUGGUUGUCGUCAGCUCGUGUCGUGAGAUGUUGGGUUAAGUCCCGCAACGAGCGCAACCCUUAUAUUUAGUUGCCAGCACUUCGGGUGGGCACUCUAGAUAGACUGCCGGUGACAAACCGGAGGAAGGUGGGGAUGACGUCAAAUCAUCAUGCCCCUUAUGACCUGGGCUACACACGUACUACAAUGGCCGGUACAACGGGCUGCGAAAUCGCGAGAUGGAGCCAAUCCCAACAAAGCCGGUCUCAGUUCGGAUUGCAGGCUGCAACUCGCCUGCAUGAAGUCGGAAUUGCUAGUAAUCGCGGAUCAGCAUGCCGCGGUGAAUACGUUCCCGGGUCUUGUACACACCGCCCGUCACACCACGAGAGUUUAUAACACCCGAAGUCGGU
rnacentral:rRNA from 1 species